GAUGAACGCUGGCGGCAUGCCUAACACAUGCAAGUCGAUCGGUAAGGCUCUUCGGAGUACACGAGAGGCGGACGGCUGAGUAACGCGUAGGAACACACCCUGCAGUGAGGGAUAAGACACCGAAAGGUGUUCUAAUACCGCAUACGGUCUUCGGAUUAAAGCAUUUAUGCGCUGAAGGAGUGGCCUGCGUCAUAUUAGAUAGUUGGUGAGGUAAUGGCUCACCAAGUCGAUGAUGUGUAGCUGGUCUGAGAGGAUGAUCAGCCAGACUGGAACUGAGACACGGUCCAGACUCCUACGGGAGGCAGCAGUGAGGAAUAUUUCACAAUGAGCGAAGGCUUGAUGGAGCAAUGCCGCGUGCAGGAUGAAGGCCCUCGGGUUGUAAACUGCUUUUAUAAGAGAAGAUUAUGACGGUAACUUAUGAAUAAGGGACGGCUAACUACGUG
rnacentral:rRNA from 1 species